CUAGUUUGUACAGUUAUUCUCUUCUGCCCUUUCAUAACUCAAAAGUUGGAAAGAACUUAACAUGUAGGGCAGGAGAACAAGGAGCCUGCCAUUGGGAGUCACAGCAGAGCAAAACCUUGGAGCCCUGGUUUGUUUGGACCAUCUCAGUGCACAUGAACCAGGGAGAUGGCUUAAUGGUAGGACAGAACAAGACCACUGGAAUCACACUGCGUGUGCCUCACACCCAGGAAUCCAAAGGGUGGUGGAUCACCGUGUGCUUCCUGCGACCCUUCCAGUCUUGCAAAUACCCCUUGAGGAACCAUUCUGGCCAGCGGGGCGAUCCCUCUCCUAUCUGGCUCUGCCCGCUCU